rnacentral:lncRNA from 1 species
CACAGCUGCGAAUUUGGCUUCUGCCAGUAGGUGUGUGCACAGUUGGUUUCCUCCCAAUUUGGAAUCAUCAGGAGGAGAAUCAAGCCCAGCAUCUCAGAACCUUUUCGGGAACAGGCUUCGAGUCAAACUCUGUGAAAUCACUAGGAGCUUUUCCAUGGAUUUCAAUGAUGUCUGAUGGCUUUGAUGACAGUGGCAGCUGGUUUCAGGAUAGGUUACACAGCAGUGAGAAAGAAUUAGCUCAAUGGAUGCCCAAGGAUCUGCUAGAUUUUCUCACCUGAAAUUCACAAAUGCCUCGACCUCCUUUCCCUCCAAGAUUGUAAGCUCCAGCAAACUUCUAUUUGUACAGUGCCUAAAACAAUGGCGUCAUCGUACAGGAGAAAAGUUCUCAUAAAUGUAAGCACUGUGGUACUGUCUAACAAGAAACUCGCAUAGUAGUGAUAUUCUCUCCUGUCCUAGUGCCUAAUUACUUAGAGACAAGGGAAAAGAGACUAAGAAGGCGCUUUCUCAUUGCUGGUCUGCAGGAGCUCCAUAGCAGACCCAUUGGUGACUGAUGGGGUGCUGAGGAAAAGAAAAUAGGCUAAACUGGGGAAGAGGAGAGUCCUGCUGGGUUCAGCCCUCCAGCUGUUGGAGCAAACUAGCCAAAAGACUGUUGGUUGGGAGUUCGAUGUGGCCUGCCUGGCAGCUUGCAGGGAAGAUGGUCCAGAAUUUUUGCCCUUUUGAUUGUCUGUUUAACACCACUUUGCAAAGGCAUGAAUACCAACUCAAGUGCAAUGGAAAAUCGGGUCUAGAAAGAUUAAUCUUUGCAUGAAAAUCACUUUCUUUCCUUUGGAUCUUCUUUUUUAGCAUCUUGGAUUCCUGGGGUAUAAUAAUUAAUACUUUCAGUGAAACCCUGUGAUGGACAAUGCAUAUUCCUCUCCUUGCCAUUUCCUUACUGUUUCCCCCUAUUUCACACACAUAAACACAUACACUAAAGGAAGAUCAGGAAGACAGUCCAAGACUUUACAUUCCUCUUCAUGCAAGUAACCCAUACACAGUUUUCUCCAUGGUAAUCUUCUCCAUGGUAAUUCACCACUGAUAAAU